GCAUACUUGGCCGAGUGGUUAAGGCGAUAGACUUGAAAUCUAUUGGGUUUUACCUUCGUAGGUUCAAAUCCUACAGUAUGCG
rnacentral:tRNA from 1 species